CCUAAGGAUAAGCAUCCUUUGUGGUGUACUCUUAUCACGUGGUUCGUCCCAGACAUAGACAUACCCCUUUGAAGUAGAGAAACCAUAGUUAUACUCUCUAUUCUGCUACCAUUGCCCAUAUACUAGAUUGCUCUAAUCUCUAUUCCCAUAUUAUCACUCACUGUUAUCUUACCUUUAAUAUUGUUCUUAUUCCAUUCGACCAUCUUUCCUAUUUACACCUAUUUACUUAUCUUGGUUAAGUUAGAGCGUAGUUGGUUCUCCCGUUUCCCUGUGGAUACGAUAAAACCUUUAACCAGGUAAAAGCUUCAACGGUAUCCGUGCGCUUGUGGAUUAUCUGUGUGCGUAUAAAUACCAUAGUACAUUCUAGUGCCAUGCUCGGGAUGACAACCUAGUAUUCAAGUGGUGUUAGCAAGUGUCAACAAGCAUUUUUGGCGCCGUUGCCGGGC
rnacentral:lncRNA from 1 species